AUGAGGGAGUAGCGAGGAGCAGAAAAGAGCAAAACAUGGAUUGGCUGAUUGGGAAUUUAGUUAACAUUGUUAUGUGGCUCUUUUUCUAGCUGACAGCCUCUCUUCUCUCCCUCCACCGACCCUUUAUGGACGCACCCUGGUGACAUCAUUACUGUUUUUACUGGUUCCACAGUGGGAAAAAUGCCGCUUUGUAGACCACUGCUAUUUGAGAACGAUGAGGUCACUGUCCUGUCUCCCCUCUCGCAACAACCGCUCGAAGGGCCAGCAGAUGAAGAUUUUGG